GAUGAACGCUAGCGGCAGGCUUAAUACAUGCAAGUCGUGGGGCAGCGCAGUCCCGCAGCAAUGCGGGAUGGGCGGCGACCGGCAAACGGGUGCGGAACACGUACGCAACCUUCCUUCAAGUGGAGAAUAGCCCAGGGAAACUUGGAUUAAUACUCCGUAACAUUACGAGGUGGCAUCACUUUGUAAUUAUAGCUCCGGCGCUUGAAGAUGGGCGUGCGCCUGAUUAGGUAGUUGGCGGGGUAACGGCCCACCAAGCCUACGAUCAGUAACUGGUGUGAGAGCACGACCAGUCACACGGGCACUGAGACACGGGCCCGACUCCUACGGGAGGCGGCAGUAAGGAAUAUUGGUCAAUGGACGCAAGUCUGAACCAGCCAUGCCGCGUGGAGGAUGAAGGUCCUCUGGAUUGUAAACUUCUUUUAUCUGGGAAGAAACCCAAGGUUUCUACUUUGGUUGACGGUACCAGAUGAAUAAGCACCGGCUAACUCCGUGCCAGCAGCCGCCGUAA
rnacentral:rRNA from 1 species